rnacentral:misc_RNA from 1 species
UUUUCUCCUUGCUGCAAAUGGUCUGUUGGUGCUUUUCAUUGCUAUCAACCUCUUUAAACUGUACUAUGGUGAUGACUGGGCUGGUCUUUUUGAGGCUAUAACUGGUUAUGGUCUUGGAGGAUCUUCCAUGGCCCUCUUUGGCAGAGUGGGGGGAGGUAUCUACACCAAAGCUGCUGAUGUUGGUGCUGAUCUUGUUGGCAAGGUAGAAAGGAACAUUCCUGAGGAUGACCCGAGGAAUCCAGCUGUGAUUGCUGAUAAUGUUGGUGAUAAUGUUGGGGAUAUAGCUGGUAUGGGAUCGGACCUUUUUGGCUCAUACGCAGAGUCUUCUUGUGCUGCCUUAGUUGUUGCUUCCAUUUCCUCUUUUGGAAUUAAUCAUGAAUUGACUUCAAUGCUAUACCCUCUUAUAAUCAGUUCUGUGGGUAUCCUUGUUUGUUUGCUCACCACCUUGUUUGCAACUGAUUUCUUUGAGAUCAAGGCUGUAAAGGAAAUUGAGCCAGCUUUGAAAAAGCAGCUCAUCAUUUCAACUGUUCUUAUGACUGUUGGAAUUGCCAUUGUUAGUUGGAUUGCUCUUCCAUCUUCCUUCACCAUCUUCAAUUUCGGGACUCAGAAAGUUGUUAAGAACUGGCAACUUUUCUUGUGUGUUGCUGUUGGUCUCUGGGCUGGGCUGAUUAUUGGAUUUGUAACUGAGUACUUCACUAGCAAUGCAUACAGCCCUGUUCAAGAUGUUGCUGAUUCCUGCCGAACUGGAGCUGCCACUAAUGUUAUUUUUGGGCUUGCUUUGGGAUAUAAAUCUGUCAUUAUCCCAAUUUUUGCCAUUGCAGUCAGCAUUUUUGUCAGUUUCAGCUUUGCUGCUAUGUAUGGUAUUGCAGUAGCUGCCCUUGGAAUGCUGAGCACCAUCGCCACUGGAUUGGCAAUUGAUGCAUAUGGUCCCAUUAGUGAUAAUGCUGGAGGUAUUGCUGAGAUGGCAGGCAUGAGCCACAGAAUCCGUGAGAGGACUGAUGCCCUUGAUGCUGCAGGAAACACCACUGCUGCUAUUGGAAAGGGUUUUGCCAUUGGUUCUGCAGCUCUUGUGUCCCUUUCCCUCUUUGGUGCCUUUGUUAGCCGUGCUUCAAUUUCAAAAGUAGAUGUGUUGACACCAAAAGUUUUUAUUGGUUUGAUUGUUGGUGCAAUGCUUCCCUACUGGUUUUCUGCUAUGACAAUGAAGAGUGUGGGGAGUGCAGCCCUGAAGAUGGUUGAGGAGGUCCGUAGGCAAUUCAACACCAUCCCUGGUCUGAUUGAGGGCACUGCCAAGCCAGACUAUGCUACCUGUGUUAAGAUCUCCACUGAUGCUUCCAUCAAAGAGAUGAUCCCACCUGGUGCACUUGUCAUGCUCACCCCCCUCAUUGUUGGGAUCUUUUUUGGUGUGGAAACUCUCUCUGGUGUUCUAGCUGGAGCACUCGUAUCUGGUGUUCAGAUUGCCAUCUCUGCAUCCAACACUGGUGGUGCUUGGGAUAAUGCCAAGAAGUACAUUGAGGCUGGCGCUUCUGAACAUGCAAGAGCUCUUGGUCCUAAAGGGUCAGAUCCACACAAAGCAGCUGUUAUUGGUGACACCAUCGGGGAUCCAUUGAAGGACACAUCUGGGCCAUCACUCAACAUCCUUAUCAAACUUAUGGCAGUUGAAUCACUUGUGUUUGCUCCAUUCUUUGCUACACAUGGAGGGCUACUCUUCAAGAUAUUUUAAGUGGGGACGAGAAGCAAACAUAAAAUGGUCCACCUAGUCAUCACGUCUGGUGCUUCUUCUUCUUCUUCUUCAUAUCCUUGUCAUUUUGCUCCCAAAAUAUAUGUAGUCUGUAGUUGAUGUUGACUCUUGAAAAUUUCGCUUUCAAAAGGGUGAGUGAUGACAACAACAUGGCAAUGGUUAGUGAAAGAGCAUUAUUUCUUUUAUUUAUAUAUAUAUUUUUAGCUAGAAUUCAUUUUUCCAAUUUUUAAUUUUCAUGCAGUUGUAUCUUGGAUUCUUGGUUUCUGCAAUUCUUACCCUAUCUAUCGCAUCAUGAGGCAUGAGAUGUGCAAUUUGCAAACUUAGGCAUUUUGAUCAUUUGAUGUGAAAUAAAGUUUCUAUGGCAAUUCAGCAGCUGGUUUAGUUUUACAGUAACCUGAGUUGCUGUUCACGGUUUUCUUGUUCUUCUGAGGGAUACACCUUGGAUAUAUUCUCUUUUUGCGGAAACUUGGAGAAUCCAGCUAAAUACAAUCAACUUGUGAGGAAAAGAUAUUAUAAUCAGUGCUCAAACAUUGUAUAUGUCAAUGUAGCCAAGAAACUUUCUCCAGCUUGUUGAAGAAUCCAAUAGUGUUAAUGAGACAUGUUUCUGGAUAUAGUUCAUGAUGUGCAUUGAUGACAGAGAAUGAUGUGGCCAAAGCUGAAAGCUCUUGAAGGACAUGAGGAAGUUCAUGCAUGUAAAUAUAUGUUAGUGUGAGUAGGGGUGUUCAGUUCUGGUUCGGUUUGGGAUUUGUCUAGAAAUCAGAAUCGAAUCAAAAUUUCGGUAUGGUUUCAGUACAGUUCUUCAUUGUUUCUAUUCCAGUUCAGUACGGUUCUCAAUUCUUCGGUUUUGAUUCUGUUCGGUACAGUUUCAGUUAUGUUUUCGGUUCUUAAAAUAAUUU